GAGAAAAGAUGCAUUACUGAUCAGAUUGCAUUUGAAAAAAACAGUCACACAUAAUGACCAAUGUUUUUACCAUUUUUCUUUGUUCUUCUUUUCAAAGACAUUCAAAUCAAAAAGAUUAUUUUUUAUUAAUUUCUAAAAUUACCCAGGAGACAAAACAAAACAGUAGAAGAGGAAGGGAGAAAAAAGUGAGAGGCAGCAGGUUUCAGAUAGAUAUUAAAUUAUUAAUGCAGAUGGCAAAUUGUCUUAUCCUCUGCAAGGAGAUGAGAUAGCUUAGAUUCAUGAAAACUCAUUUUGGCAUGCAUACACGUGUGUGCACUCAUUCACAUAUACACACACAACAGAGAGAGAAAGAGAUUGAAAAUCAUUAUAGGUGAUUUGAACAGAGAGGAGGUGCAUAGGCAAAGUAAGUCCAUUCCAAGUAGUGAAGAAUUUCACUUGGCUUUUUACAAUUUCAUCAAGUUGUAUGCUUUUUAAUUGUUCAUCUGCCUUUGACAUAUGGUCAUGAAAGAGGAAGAGUUUAUUCUGUCAAAGAAAGAGACCUCACUUUGAGACAGAGGAGUCAGUUAGACAAUCUUUCUAUAAGGGUUUCUUUUUAUUUUAAUGCCUCUUUCAAAUAAACACUAUUGUUUAUGGUAAAGGUUUCCCAAAGUAACCACUGAAAUUUUAGAUCAAUCCUGGUGUAAUUAUUUUAGAGGGAUAUGCACAUGAGUUAACACAAGAAAAAAGAUCCUGUGUAGAUGAUAAAAGUCAAAAAAGGUAGUUCUACUUUGUGUCUCUAGAAUCUGGUCAAAGAUGAGUUGAUAACAGCUGGGGGCCUAAUAUGGCUUGGCUGUGUGUCCUCACCCAAAUUUCAUCUUGUAGCUCCAAUAAUUCCCAUGUGCUGUGGGAGGGACAUGGUGGGAGAUGAUUGAAUCAUAGGGGUGGGUCUUUUUUAUUUUGGAAAAUUCUUUAUUGUUUACCUGGGCUACAUAUUCCUAGAGUAUGUACAUAGUGACAAAAAGAUUUUUUUUUUUAUCAAUUAAUGAUUGAUAUUGAAUGGGUCUUAUGAGACAGACCUGAUGGUUUUAAAAACAGGAGUCCUGGCCGGGCGCAGUGGCUCACACCUGUAAUCCCAGCACUUUGGGAGGCCGAGGUGGGUGGAUCACGAGGUCAGGAGAUUGAGACCAUCCUAGCCAACACGGUGAAACCCCGUCUUUACUAAAAAUACAAAAAAUUAACUGGGCGUGGUGGCGGGUGCCUGUAGUCCCAGCUACUUGGGAGGCUGAGGCAGGAGAAUGGCGUGAAUCCAGGAG
rnacentral:lncRNA from 10 species